UACGUAGGGGGCAAGCGUUGUCCGGAAUCAUUGGGCGUAAAGCGCGUGUAGGCGGCUUGGUAAGUCCGCUCUGAAAGCCCGGGGCUCAACCCCGGGAGGCGGGUGGAUACUGUCAAGCUCGAGUCCGGAAGAGGCGAGUGGAAUUCCUGGUGUAGCGGUGAAAUGCGCAGAUAUCAGGAGGAACACCAAUGGCGAAGGCAGCUCGCUGGGACGUGACUGACGCUGAGGCGCGACAGCGUGGGGAGCAAACAGG
rnacentral:rRNA from 1 species